rnacentral:tRNA from 1 species
GCCUCGGUAGCGCAGUAGGCAGCGCGUCAGUCUCAUAAUCUCAUCAAUCGAGAAAUCUGAAGGUCGUGAGUUGGAUCCUCACCCGGGGCA